rnacentral:lncRNA from 1 species
GCGUGUGUCCAGAGUUGGCUCUUGGGUUCGCUCUAUGUAUUCAGUUUUGUAAAUAAUAUAUAGAUUAGAUCAAGUCGUGGUGUAAAAUUUUAACUCAAAUCGGGUCCUAUUGGUUGGAAUUUUACAUUAACUACAAAUAAAUGAUUAGGAACAGAAGAAGCUGGGCUUAUUGUUUAGUGGCAUAGAUUCUGCGUAGGUCUCUGCCUAUAUCUUGUGUUUGAUGCUUGUUAGUAAGGCAUGGGCUAAUGCAGUGAACUGCAUUUAUGCAAUUAGCACAUAACUGCUAGUUUUCAUUUUAUCUAUUAUAUUAGCAACAAAGUGGCAUUUAACUGGGUAAAGCUCCUACCUGAAUAUUUGAGUAUUGUGACAUCUCAGCUUGCAAGGUUUGAGUGAAAGGUUAGUCACAGAUUAGUGAUAGCAAAAGUGUCUUUCUGUUAAAACUGGCUUGUCUGUAUGAACCACUCCUCUCUCACUAGUUUCUAUGCUGUGUCUGCUAACAUUUCUCUUUUCUUUUAUAAUAACCAAACUUGUCAAACUCAGCUGCCAUAGUAUUCCAUUCCCACCAGAGUGUUUUAUAAGAGAUACUGUUGACUUUAUACCCCGAAAUGGGUCAAGAAGUGGAUCCAGGGAUGCUGACGUUGUGAGGUUACAGUAGUUCACUGGGACCCGAAGAGCUUGGGUGCGUGCACAGGGGAACGCCUGCUCCUGGACAAAGUGCUAUGGGGGUAUAAAGUCUUAGGUAUUUGUAUUUCCGCUGUGGAAAUAGUGAACGUGACUUUUAGAUGUUCACAGCUCUGUAUUUGAUUUCCAACUAACAACUAAUUUUAACUGUACUGUAUCUUUUCCUACCUGUUCUUUGGAUUGUUCUUGCUGGUAACCCUUCCUCGGCUUCUGCCCUGGGGCUUGGACUAAUACUGCUUGUACGGAUUCGCUACUGUGACUGAACGUGGAGCUCUCGAAGCUAUCGCUUAACUGCUUAAACUUUGUAGUUUGGACUUUUUUUUUCUGUAAUAACAACUUAUUAAAUCUAGUUGUACGAAGC